rnacentral:rRNA from 1 species
UGAGGAAUAUUGGGCAAUGCCCGCAAGGGUGACCCAGCAACGCCGCGUGGAGGAUGAAUGUCGUAAGAUUGUAAACUCCUGUUAGAGGGGAAGAAUAGUACCGGUUGGACCGGUAUAUGACUGUACCCUCAGAGAAAGCCCCGGCUAACUACGUGCCAGCAGCCGCGGUAAUACGUAGGGGGCAAGCGUUGUCCGGAUUUACUGGGUGUAAAGGGCGCGCAGGCGGGAUAAAAAGUCAGUGGUGAAAUCCUACAGCUUAACUGUAGAACUGCCUUCGAUACUUUUAUUCUUGAGUUCGGGAGAGAGAGACGGAAUUCCAGGUGUAGUGGUGAAAUACGUAGAGAUCUGGAAGAACACCAGUUGCGAAGGCGGUCUCUUGAUCCGACACUGACGCUGAGGCGCGAAAGCGUGGGGAGCAAAAA